GCCCAGACCACCAGCUAAGGUCCCAAAAUAUCUGUUAAUUGGAAAAGGAUGUGGCGUUGCCCAGACAACUAGGAUGUUGGCUUAGAAGCAGCCAUCAUUUAAAGAGUGCGUAAUAUCUCACUAGUCGAGUGACACUGCGCCGAAAAUGUACCGGGGCUAAACAUAUUACCGAAGCUGUGGAUUGUCCUUUUGACUAUGGUAGGAGAGCGUUCUAUGGGCGUUGAAGCAUGAUCGUAAGGACAUGUG
rnacentral:rRNA from 1 species